CACAUGAGCCAAAAGGAAGGCAGGGUGCAGUGGGUCAUCACACAGGUGCAUUUAUAUCAUGAAUGUUGGGUCUCUCUGACUCUACUACACCAACUGAUAAAUUAUUUGCCAUGAUGCCAACAACAAGGAAUACUGGGAGAAUCUGGCCCAACUAUCAGAUCCAAGCAGAGAAAAGAGAGAGAUAUUAGAUUAAAGUGUCAUUAUACCUCAGAUUAAAUCCAAGAUCCAGGCAUUUAAAGCUCAGCUAAAAGGGGGCGUGGUAAAAGAAGUUCAGCAGAUUCAGUGGCCAAUGAGAGUCCUACAUAAUCUGCUAGUGAUGGCUGAGGUUGAGAAGUUGAACCACGUUGGCCUUGAACUUGGACUACCCCGUGUCCUCUUUGGCCCGAUCCAGGAUACAGUAGACAGCUCAGAUUUCAUUAAGGUUGCUACUCUGGAUUGAAACAGUGUUUCACAAUGAACUGAUCCUGCAACAGUGUUUCUCACUUCUACUUUGGUACUUUGCCACCUGUUCAGCACCAGCAGAGUAUCCCUGUCCUUCAAGAAAUGAUCAGAGUGGUCCUGAUCUACUGGGAGAAGAACUGUGCCUGUCUGUCUGUGCUUUCUUGUUUAAACAGCAUGAGAAUGGCCCUUUGCCCUCGGGUUUAAAUGCAGUUUUCUUUCUGAAUCUGUGUAAAAAGAUCGUUGUUUGCCUUGAAGGUGUAACAUCAGACUCUGACUUCUGUUCAGCAAAUGGUAAUUAUACUCAUCCUGUGAAACCUACGAUGUCUGAAAACAGUUCUAAUGAAAAAAAACCAAACUUUACUUCUUUGUGUGUGUGUGUGUGUGUGUGUGUGUGUGUGUGUGUGUGUGUGUGUGUGUGUGUGUGUCGAGAAGUGUAAGUUAAUAUGGUUCAACUGUAAUAGCAAAUGAUGGUAGUGAGGUCUUAAGCCAUUAUGUGAAGGCGAGAUAAAGUCAAGAGAACAAGGAAAAGGAGGAUUAGAGCCCAGAGAGAAAACCUGGAGCUGAAAGGAUGAUCUGGUCCAAAUUUGAAAGCACAGAGACAUUUACACUUCAUGACAGAAAACACAUUUAUGCAACCCAAAACUGUUUGAUUACUUUUCACUAUUUAUAAAAAUGACUCUGACCUUGUAAAAUCAUUAAUCAUUUCACGAGGAAAAGGUUACACAAAGCCUUAAAUGUCAUGUAAAUAUCAAGGAAGCAAUAUUGUGAUGCUCUUACAGACAUUCACUGUGUGUAAUUUUACAGUGAAAGUAGACAGCUCAAUAACCUUUUACCACAGCUCCCUGCCAGUUAUGUGAUACAGCAUGAAACGCUGUGUUGAACUUUA